rnacentral:rRNA from 1 species
ACGGGAGGCAGCAGUGGGGAAUAUUGCACAAUGGGGGAAACCCUGAUGCAGCAACGCCGCGUGAAGGAAGAAGGUUUUCGGAUCGUAAACUUCUAUCAACAGGGAAGAAAGAAAUGACGGUACCUGAAUAAGAAGCCCCGGCUAACUACGUGCCAGCAGCCGCGGUAAUACGUAGGGGGCAAGCGUUAUCCGGAAUUACUGGGUGUAAAGGGAGCGUAGGCGGCAUGUCAAGCCAGAUGUGAAAGCCCGGGGCUUAACCCCGUGGAUUGCAUUUGGAACUGGCAAGCUAGAGUACAGGAGAGGAAAGCGGAAUUCCUAGUGUAGCGGUGAAAUGCGUAGAUAUUAGGAAGAACACCAGUGGCGAAGGCGGCUUUCUGGACUGAAACUGACGCUGAGGCUCGAAAGCGUGGGGAGCAAACAGGAUUAGAUACCCUGGUA